CAUAACUAUGACUGAGUGAACAAAAACGCUUUGUGUACUUCUCCCAGGCUAUUGUGGCGCUGGACAGACAUAUUAUGGGAUUACUAUUAGGGAGCUAGCUUGCUCCUUUGAUGGAGAGCUUACCUGGAGGAUAAAUAUGGUCAACGACUCGCUUUUUAGGCCCACAUCAGCCUGUGUAUUCCUCCAUAGCUUGAAAACAGUUCCUCUAUUUAUUUAAGCCGUUUCACGCUGCAUUGUUCUAAGCCUUGGGCUAAGGUGGCAUGUGUGCAAAGCCUCUUGAGUUCUCCGGAGCUUUAUCACAAUUUCUUUGAGACUGGCAACGCAGGAUGACCGGGAACAAAAUAAACAAGAGAAAAUCCCCGGGAAGGCGCUACGAGCGGAGCCUGGCUUCCUCAACGGCUGGGGUUCACAGUAGUUUGUCAAAGUUUUCUGAGGUUGUGAUCAGUCACGAUGGUCGUUUGCUGUGGUGUUGGUGGAUGGCCAGACAGCGCUGCAUUUUACAUUGUGUUGGUGUCUCCCUGCAGCCCUGACCGGUCGAGGCAUGGACUCCACUAAA